rnacentral:rRNA from 1 species
AGAGUUUGAUCAUGGCUCAGAACGUACGCUGGCGGCACGCCUAACACAUGCAAGUCGAACGAAGUAGCAAUACUUAGUGGCAGACGGGUGAGUAACAUGUGGGUAUCUGCCCUUUGGCCUGGAAUAACACGAGGAAACUUGUGCUAAUACCGGAUAAGUCUUUACAGAGAAAGCUUUAUGCACCAUUGGAUGAGCCCGCACUUGAUUAGUUUGUUGGUGGGGUAAUGGCCUACCAAGACUUUGAUCAAUAGCUGAUUUGAGAGGAUGAUCAGCCACAUUGGGACUGAGACACGGCCCAAACUCCUACGGGAGGCAGCAGUGGGGAAUCUUGCACAAUGGAGGAAACUCUGAUGCAGCGAUGCCGCGUGAGUGAAGAAGGCCCUUGGGUUGUAAAGCUCUUUCGUCGGGGAAGAAAAUGACUGUACCCGAAUAAGAAGGUCCGGCUAACUUCGUGCCAGCAGCCGCGGUAAUACGAAGGGACCUAGCGUAGUUCGGAAUUACUGGGCUUAAAGAGUUCGUAGGUGGUUGAAAAAGUUGGUGGUGAAAUCCCAGAGCUUAACUCUGGAACUGCCAUCAAAACUUUUCAGCUAGAGUUUGAUAGAGGAAAGCAGAAUUUCUAGUGUAGAGGUGAAAUUCGUAGAUAUUAGAAAGAAUACCAAUUGCGAAGGCAGCUUUCUGGAUCAUUACUGACACUGAGGAACGAAAGCAUGGGUAGCGAAGAGGAUUAGAUACCCUCGUAGUCCAUGCCGUAAACGAUGUGUGUUAGACGUUGGAAAUUUAUUUUCAGUGUCGCAGCGAAAGCGAUAAACACACCGCCUGGGGAGUACGACCGCAAGGUUAAAACUCAAAUGAAUUGACGGGGACCCGCACAAGUAGUGGAGCAUGUGGUUUAAUUCGAAGAUACGCGCAGAACCUUACCAACACUUGACAUGUUCGUCGCGACUUUAAGAGAUUAAAGUUUUCGGUUCGGCCGGACGAAACACAGGUGCUGCAUGGCUGUCGUCAGCUCGUGUCGUGAGAUGUUGGGUUAAGUCCCGCAACGAGCGCAACCCUCACUUUUAGUUGCCAUCAUUAAGUUGGGCACUCUGAAAGAACUGCCAGUGAUAAGCUGGAGGAAGGUGGGGAUGACGUCAAGUCCUCAUGGCCCUUACGUGUUGGGCUACACACGUGCUACAAUGGUAUCUACAACAGGAAGCGAAACAGCGAUGUUAAGCAAAUCCUUAAAAGAUACCUCAGUUCGGAUUGCACUCUGCAACUCGAGUGCAUGAAGCUGGAAUUACUAGUAAUCGUGGAUCAGCGUGCCACGGUGAAUGCGUUCCCGGGUCUUGUACACACCGCCCGUCACACCAUGGGAGUUGGUUCUACCUUAAGGCAAGGUUUAAUACCCUUGACCACGGUAUAGUCAGCGACUGGGGUGAAGUCAUAACAAGGUAGCCGUA